rnacentral:lncRNA from 1 species
GUGUGUGUGAGAUGCUAUUAUGUUAUGUUCGUGAAGAGAAGAGUCCAUGAUGUUUGAUUGUUUGUACUUUGUAAAUUGUAAUAUUCAGUUAGGUUAGUUAUGUUUUUUAUUUUUUUAUUUUUUUUGUGACAAGAGGCCAGGUCGAUCGGAUUCUCAUAUCAGAUUAGGUUUAAUCCAAUCUAAUCAUGAUCCAGUCGGGUGGGUUAAAAUUCCACCCUAUUGGAUUAAGCAAAUA